GAAAUGCGAUAAGUAGUGUGAAUUGCAGAAUUCAGUGAAUCAUCGAAUCUUUGAACGCACAUUGCGCCCCUCGGUAUUCCGUGGGGCAUGCCUGUUCGAGCGUCAUCUACACCCUCAAGCUCUGCUUGGUGUUGGGCGUCUGUCCCGCCUCCUUCGCGCGCGGACUCGCCCCAAAUCCAUUGGCGGCGGCCCUUGCCUCCCUCUCGCGCAGCACAUUGCGCUUCUCGAGGCGCGGCGGACCGCGUCCAACAAGCAACCGUCACACCGUCUUUGACCUCGGAUCAGGUAGGGAUACCCGCUGAACUUAAGC
rnacentral:misc_RNA from 1 species